rnacentral:rRNA from 14 species
AAUUUCCUUUCAAUCACUUUAAACAUGCCUGAUCUCAGAAGCUAAGCAGGGUGGACCUGCUGGGUACUUAGAUGGGAGAAUUCCAGGCAGGGAUGCUG